rnacentral:rRNA from 1 species
GAUGAACGCUGGCGGCGUGCCUAAUACAUGCAAGUCGAGCGAACAGACGCGGCGCUUGCUCCUCUGACGUUAGCGGCAGACGGGUGAAUAACACGUGGAUCCCCUCCCUGUCUGACUGGGAUCACUUCGGGAAACCGGCGCUAAUACCGGAUAAUAUCUUGCACCGCAUUGUUCAAUAGUAAAAGUCGGUUUUGCUGUCACUUCUCGCUGGAUCCGGGCGGCAUGAGCUAGUUGGUACGGUAAAGGGUUACCGAGGCAACCAUGCGUAGCCGACCUGACAGGGUGAUCGGCCACACUGGAACUGAGACACGGUCCAGACGACUACGAGAGGCAGCAGUAGGGAAUGGGCCGCAAUGGGCGAAAGUCUCACGGAGCAACGGCGCGCGAGUGAUGACGGUCUUCGGAGCGGAAUACUGUGUUAUGAGGGAAGAACAAAUGUGGAAGUAACUAUGCACGGCGUGACGGUACCUAAUCAGAAAGCCACGGCUAACUACGUG